rnacentral:rRNA from 1 species
GAUGAACGCUGGCGGCGUGCCUAAUACAUGCAAGUCGAGCGAACGGACGAGGAGCUUGCGUCUCUGAUGUUAGCGGCGGGCGGGUGAGUAACGCGUGGAUCACGUACCUAUAAGACGGGGAUAACUUCGGGAAACCGGCUCUAACACCGGAUAAUAUUUUGAACCGCAUGGGUCAAAAGAGAAAGACGGUCUUGCUGUAACUAAUAGCUGGUUCCGCGCUGCAUUAGCUAGUUGGUAAGGUAACGGGUUACCAAGGCAACGAUGCAUAGCCGACCUGAGAGGGUGAUCGCCCACACUGGAACUGGGACACGGUCCAGAGUCCUACGGGAGGCAGCAGUCGGGAAUCUUCCGCAAUGGGCGAAAGCCUGACGGAGCAACGCCGCGUGAGUGAUGGAGGUCCUCGGAUCGUAAAACUCUGUUAUUAGGUAAGAACAUAUGUGUAAGUAACUGUGCACAUCUUGACGGUACCUAGUCAGAAAGCCACGGCUAACUACGUG